CACCCGAUGACUGAAAGUAAGUGUAGGUCUUUUAAACCUAUCAUAGUAAUUUAUCGCCUACUUCUGGUGA
rnacentral:tRNA from 1 species